rnacentral:rRNA from 1 species
CCCUUAGAUGUCCUGGGCCGCACGCGCGUUACACUGAUGCAUUCAACGAGCUUAUAACCUUGGCCGAGAGGCCUGGGCAAUCUUGUUAACGUGCAUCGUGAUAGGGAUAGAUUAUUGAAAUUAUUAAUCUUGAACGAGGAAUUCCUAGUAAACGCAGAUCAUCAAUCUGCAUUGAUUACGUCCCUGCCCUUUGUACACACCGCCCGUCGCUACUACCGAUUGAAUGGCUCAGUGAGGCCUUCGGACUGGCUUAGGGAGGUUGGCAACGACCACCCUGAGCCGGGAAGUUCGUCAAACUCGGUCAUUUAGAGGAAGUAAAAGUCGUAACA